rnacentral:rRNA from 1 species
CAGGCAAAUCCGGAUAACCAAGGCUGAGGUGUGAUGACGAGGCACUACGGUGCUGAAGUAACAAAUGCCCUGCUUCCAGGAAAAGCCUCUAAGCAUCAGGUAACAUCAAAUCGUACCCCAAACCGACACAGGUGGUCAGGUAGAGAAUACCAAGGCGCUUGAGAGAACUCGGGUGAAGGAACUAGGCAAAAUGGUGCCGUAACUUCGGGAGAAGGCACGCUGGUGUGUAGGUGAAGCCCCUGCGGAUGGAGCUGAGACCAGUCGAAGAUACCAGCUGGCUGCAACUGUUUAUUAAAAACACAGCACUGUGCAAACACGAAAGUGGACGUAUACGGUGUGACGCCUGCCCGGUGCCGGAAGGUUAAUUGAUGGGGUUAUCCGUAAGGAGAAGCUCUUGAUCGAAGCCCCGGUAAACGGCGGCCGUAACUAUAACGGUCCUAAGGUAGCGAAAUUCCUUGUCGGGUAAGUUCCGACCUGCACGAAUGGCGUAAUGAUGGCCAGGCUGUCUCCACCCGAGACUCAGUGAAAUUGAACUCGCUGUGAAGAUGCAGUGUACCCGCGGCAAGACGGAAAGACCCCGUGAACCUUUACUAUAGCUUGACACUGAACAUUGAGCCUUGAUGUGUAGGAUAGGUGGGAGGCUUUGAAGCGUGGACGCCAGUCUGCGUGGAGCCAACCUUGAAAUACCACCCUUUAAUGUUUGAUGUUCUAACGUUGGCCCCUGACCGGGGUUGCGGACAGUGUCUGGUGGGUAGUUUGACUGGGGCGGUCUCCUCCCAAAGCGUAACGGAGGAGCACGAAGGUUAGCUAAUCCUGGUCGGACAUCAGGAGGUUAGUGCAAUGGCAUAAGCUAGCUUGACUGCGAGCGUGACGGCGCGAGCAGGUGCGAAAGCAGGUCAUAGUGAUCCGGUGGUUCUGAAUGGAAGGGCCAUCGCUCAACGGAUAAAAGGUACUCCGGGGAUAACAGGCUGAUACCGCCCAAGAGUUCAUAUCGACGGCGGUGUUUGGCACCUCGAUGUCGGCUCAUCACAUCCUGGGGCUGAAGUAGGUCCCAAGGGUAUGGCUGUUCGCCAUUUAAAGUGGUACGCGAGCUGGGUUUAGAACGUCGUGAGACAGUUCGGUCCCUAUCUGCCGUGGGCGCUGGAGAAUUGAGGGGGGCUGCUCCUAGUACGAGAGGACCGGAGUGGACGCAUCACUGGUGUUCGGGUUGUCAUGCCAAUGGCACUGCCCGGUAGCUAAAUGCGGAAGAGAUAAGUGCUGAAAGCAUCUAAGCACGAAACUUGCCCCGAGAUGAGUUCUCCCUGAGACUAUAAGUCUCCUGAAGGAACGUUGAAGACGACGACGUUGAUAGGCCGGGUGUGUAAGCGCAGCGAUGCGUUGAGCUAACCGGUACUAAUGAACCGUGAGGCUUAACCUU